rnacentral:rRNA from 1 species
GUCGAGAAUCUUCCCCAAUGGGCGAAAGCCUGAGGGAGCGACGCCGCGUGAGGGAUGAAGGCCCUUUGGGUUGUAAACCUCUGUUAGGGGGAAAGAACAGCAGUGGAAGCAACAUGUCCAUUGCCUGACGUUACCCCCAGAGAAAGCUCCGGCCAACUCCGUGCCAGCAGCCGCGGUAAUACGGGGGGAGCAAGCGUUGUCCGGAAUCAUUGGGCGUAAAGGGCGUGUAGGCGGUUUGGCAAGUCGAAUGUGAAAUCCCACGGCUCAACCGUGGAACUGCGUUCGAAACUGCCUUGCUUGAGUGCGGGAGAGGUGUGCGGAAUUCCUGGUGUAGCGGUGGAAUGCGUAGAUAUCAGGAAGAACACCGGUGGCGAAGGCGGCACACUGGCCCAGCACUGACGCUGAGGCGCGAAAGCGUGGGGAGCGAACGGGAUUAGAAACCCGGGUAGUCC